UACGAAGGGGGCUAGCGUUGCUCGGAAUCACUGGGCGUAAAGCGCACGUAGGCGGCUUUCUAAGUCAGGGGUGAAAUCCUGGAGCUCAACUCCAGAACUGCCUUUGAUACUGGAGAGCUCGAGUCCGGAAGAGGUGAGUGGAACUCCGAGUGUAGAGGUGAAAUUCGUAGAUAUUCGGAAGAACACCAGUGACGAAGGCGGCUCACUGGUCCGGUACUGACGCUGAUGUGCGAAAGCGUGGGGAGCAAACAGG
rnacentral:rRNA from 1 species